rnacentral:tRNA from 1 species
GGGCGCGUAGCUCAGUUGGUAGAGCAGCCGACUCUUAAUCGGCCGGUCGCAGGUUCGAAGCCUGUCGCGCCCACCA